rnacentral:rRNA from 1 species
CAUGCCGCGUGCAGGAUGAAGGCCUUCGGGUUGGAAACUGGUUUUGGACGGAACGAAACGGUGAGCUCUAAUACAGUUUGGUAAUGACGGUACCGUAAGAAUAAGCACCGGCUAACUACGUGCCAGCAGCCGCGGUAAUACGUACGGUGCGAGCGUUAAUCGGAAUUACUGGGCGUAAAGCGUGCGCAGGCGGUGAUGUAAGACAGAUGUGAAAUCCCCGGGCUCAACCUGGGACCUGCAUUUGUGACUGCAUCGCUAGAGUACGGUAGAGGGCNAUGGAAUUCCGCGUGUAGCAAUGAAAUGCGUAGAUAUGCGGANGAACACCGAUGGCNAANNCAAUCCCCUGGACCUGUACUGACGCUCAUGCACCAAAGCNUGCNNAACAAACAGGAUUAAAUACCCUGCUACUCCACGCCCUAAACGAUGUCUACUGGUUGUUGAUUCUUCACUGACUCACUAAAGAAGCUAAAAC